GUGGGGAAUAUUGGACAAUGGGGGGAACCCUGAUCCAGCCAUGCCGCGUGUGUGAAGAAGGCCUUUUGGUUGUAAAGCACUUUAAGCGAGGAGGAGGCUACCGAGAUUAAUACUCUUGGAUAGUGGACGUUACUCGCAGAAUAAGCACCGGCUAACUCUGUGCCAGCAGCCGCGGUAAUACAGAGGGUGCAAGCGUUAAUCGGAUUUACUGGGCGUGAAGCGCGCGUAGGUGGCCAAUUAAGUCAAAUGUGAAAUCCCCGAGCUUAACUUGGGAAUUGCAUUCGAUACUGGUUGGCUAGAGUAUGGGAGAGGAUGGUAGAAUUCCAGGUGUAGCGGUGAAAUGCGUAGAGAUCUGGAGGAAUACCGAUGGCGAAGGCAGCCAUCUGGCCUAAUACUGACACUGAGGUGCGAAAGCAUGGGGAGCAAACAGGAUUAGAUACCCGAGUAGUCC
rnacentral:rRNA from 1 species